GACGAACGCUGGCGGCGUGCCUAAUACAUGCAAGUCGAACGCUUCCUACCGGUGCUUGCACCGGGAAAGAAGAGUGGCGGACGGGUGAGUAACACGUGGGUAACCUACCUACAAGCGGGGGAUAACAUUCGGAAACGGAUGCUAAUACCGCAUAGAUCUUUUUGUCUCCUGACAGAAAGAAGAAAGACGGUUUCGGCUGUCACAUGUAGAUGGACCCGCGGCGCAUUAGUUAGUUGGUGAGGUAAUGGCUCACGAAGACGAUGAUGUGUAGCCGGCCUGAGAGGGUGAUCGGCGACACUGGGAAUGAGACACGGCCCAGACUCCUACGGGAGGCAGCAGUAGGGAAUCUUCCGCAAUGGACGAAAGUCUGACGGAGCAACGCCGCGUGAGUGAAGAAGGUUUUCGGAUCGUAAACCUCUGUUGUUAGAGAAGAACAAGGAUGAGAGUAACUGCUCGUCCCUUGACGGUAUCUAACCAGAAAGCCAUGGCUAACUACGUGCCAGCCGCCGCGGUAA
rnacentral:rRNA from 1 species